rnacentral:tRNA from 1 species
GAGAAGGUAGCUCAAUUGGUAGAGCGCUUGGCGCCAUAUGAUGGCUUGGCGGUUGUAGGUUCGAAUCCUACCCUUCUCA